ACUCGGCAAAAUGACCCCGUAACUUCGGGAGAAGGGGUGCUCUUUAGGGUUAACGCCCAGAAGAGCCGCAGUGAAUAGGCCCAAGCGACUGUUUAUCAAAAACACAGGUCUCUGCUAAACCGUAAGGUGAUGUAUAGGGGCUGACGCCUGCCCGGUGCUGGAAGGUUAAGAGGAGUGGUUAGCUUCUGCGAAGCUACGAAUCGAAGCCCCAGUAAACGGCGGCCGUAACUAUAACGGUCCUAAGGUAGCGAAAUUCCUUGUCGGGUAAGUUCCGACCCGCACGAAAGGCGUAACGAUUUGGGCACUGUCUCAACGAGAGACUCGGUGAAAUCAUAGUACCUGUGAAGAUGCAGGUUACCCGCGACAGGACGGAAAGACCCCGUGGAGCUUUACUGUAGCCUGAUAUUGAAAUUCGGCACAGCUUGUACAGGAUAGGUA
rnacentral:rRNA from 1 species